AACUGAUACUACCUGCGGGAACCUGCGGAAGGAUCAUUACCGAGUGAGGGCCCUCUGGGUCCAACCUCCCACCCGUGUUUAACUACCUUGUUGCUUCGGCGGGCCCGCCACUUGUGGCCGCCGGGGGGCACCCGCCCCCGGGCCCGCGCCCGCCGAAGACACCAUUGAACGCUGUUUGAAGAAUGCAGUCUGAGCUUCUUAGCUAAAUCAGUUAAAACUUUCAACAACGGAUCUCUAGAU
rnacentral:misc_RNA from 1 species